rnacentral:rRNA from 1 species
GACGAACGCUGGCGGCGUGCUUAACACAUGCAAGUCGAACGGGUCUGCCCUGUUUUUUGCGGGGUGGGUCAGUGGCGAACGGGUGAGUAACACGUGAGUAACCUGCCCCUCACUUCUGGAUAACCGCUUGAAAGGGUGGCUAAUACGGGGUGUUCUGGCUGUGCCGCAUGGUGUGGCUGGGAAAGAUUCACUUUUGUGGUGUUUUGGUGGGGGAUGGGCUCGCGGCUUAUCAGCUUGUUGGGGGGGUGAUGGCCUGCCAAGGCUUGGACGGGUAGCCGGCCUGGGAGGGUGGGCGGUCAGAGUGGGACUGAGAUACGGCCGAGACUCCUGCGGGAGGCAGCAGUGGGGGGUAUUGCACAGUGGGCGGAAGCCUGAUGCAGCGACGUCGCGUGAGGGAUGGAGGCCUUCGGGUUGUGAACCUCUUUCGCCGGUGAAGAAGGUCCUGCUCUUUGGGGUGGGGUUGACGGUAGCCGGGUUAUGAAGCGCCGGCUAACUACGUG